AUAAAAUAGGAAAAUUUAAUUUUACAGUGAAAAUAUAAUGUUUUUUUUAAACUAUAUAAAUAAGAAAUAU
rnacentral:tRNA from 1 species